GAUGAACGCUGGCGGCGUGCCUAAUACAUGCAAGUCGAGCGAACAGACGAGGAGCUUGCUCCUCUGACGUUAGCGGCGGACGGGUGAGUAACACGUGUAUAACCUACCUAUAAGACUGGGAUAACUUCGGGAAACCGGAGCUAAUACCGGAUAAUAUAUUGAACCGCAUGGUUCAAUAGUGAAAGACGGUUUUGCUGUCACUUAUAGAUGGAUCCGCGCCGCAUUAGCUAGUUGGUAAGGUAACGGCUUACCAAGGCAACGAUGCGUAGCCGACCUGAGAGGGUGAUCGGCCACACUGGAACUGAGACGCGGUCCAGACUCCUACGGGAGGCAGCAGUAGGGAAUCUUCCGCAAUGGGCGAAAGCCUGACGGAGCAACGCCGCGUGAGUGAUGAAGGUCUUCGGAUCGUAAAACUCUGUUAUUAGGGAAGAACAAAUGUGUAAGUAACUAUGCACGUCUUGACGGUACCUAAUCAGAAAGCCACGGCUAACUACGUG
rnacentral:rRNA from 1 species